rnacentral:tRNA from 1 species
GGAAUGUGUGCCCAAGGUGGGCAGCUGGCUUGCUAAGCCGGUACAGGCUAAUCCCCUGAUGGUUCGACUCCAUCACAUUCCG